rnacentral:rRNA from 1 species
UACAGAGGUCCCAAGCGUUGUUCGGAUUCAUUGGGCGUAAAGGGUGCGUAGGCGGCGCGGUAAGUCGGGUGUGAAAUCUCGGAGCUUAACUCCGAGACUGCAUUCGAUACUGCCGUGCUUGAGGACUGGGGAGGAGACUGGAAUUUACGGUGUAGCGGUGAAAUGCGUAGAUAUCGUAAGGAAGACCAGUGGCGAAGGCGGGUCUCUGGACAGUUCCUGACGCUGAGGCACGAAGGCCAGGGGAGCAAACGGG